UGUUUUUAAACAGAGUAAAAAAGUAAUUAUUUUACUCGACAAAAUAAUAUCCGUGUGUUUUUCAAAAACCGCGCGCAUUUUUCAGUCAGUCACGUCACGUGCACUCCGCUCAUCCACACUGGACCGCGCUCACUCACUCGCUGAUGGGACCACAGCAGGAUUAACGUUAUUCGCGAGACACGACGCGGUCAUGGUAAAAAAUACAGGUACGUUAACAUUAAGCAUUUCGAGCUUCUUUAAUCCCAUUUAAAGCACUCUAAAGUCAACUUUAUCUGAAAAUUAACAAGCUUAAUUAUCAAAAUGUGUGCAACUCUAGCUAAGGUUAGCACAGGAGCAAGGUGAUAACGCACCAUUAAGUUAUAUCAAAGUUAUCAACGGUGUUAAGUGUUAAAUAUGCAGUGGCAUACACAACAGUUCGUCAUUGGUAAAUUAAGAAGUAUUUUUGUGGUUUAUCACAUUACACAGCGUAUGACGAGUCCCGCAAAGUGUAACGUUAUUUUGAAAAUAAUGUUACCGUUAGAGAGACGCUGAUCUCUAACCGUCACUCCCUACACAGAUCUGAAGCGAGGUAAAGCGAACACACAUUCACUGCAUUAAAACAUUUUAACCUUUGUGUUCAGUGUUACUGAAUAUCUGUAGGUUUCAUCUAGAUUGUCCCAUCUGAUGCUGAUCAAGUUUACUAAAUCCGCCGAAUGUUUAACAAAAGGGCUGAAGAGCGUUUAUAAUGGCUGUUUAACGUUAGUUCACAUUUUACAGUUAUUUGCUCCUCACGUUGUCUUAUUUAAAAUACAUACUAACAAAUUGCUGUCAUACUUUGAAAUCAAUGUUUUUAGUGCAAAGGCAGAGAGUGAAGGUGUGGUGGUAUUGGCAGCAAGAAGGCUGCAAUAAUAUGGGUCUGAAAUGAAGUACCGGAACAUUAUCAGUCAUUCAAGCUAUGAUAUCCUGGCAGAUCUACUUCCUGAAAAGAAGACUCAGCAGAUCUUUUCAAGACACACUAGAUGGAGCUCGGAGAGACCGGACAGUUCCCACAGUGCUAGUUUUUCAGCACCCACACCCCAAACACAAAUUCGUAUAGAAGUUUUCAAUAAUAAAAAGUUUAUAUGAUAGUUUAUAUUUAGCUAUGAAGCAAUAGUUUAUUGUCAUAAAUAUUAAACUAAAUAUUAAAGUCCUUCUGUAGUGAAAAUCAAGUUUUUAUGCUGUUUUUUUUGUCUUUGUGGCAUUAAAUAUUGCUACAUCACAAUCCAAUAACCAAUCACAUCUAAGAAUAAUUUCCUAUAGCAUGCUAAUACCAGCGCACAAGCACAAAGCUAAAGACAAAAUUAUAGCAAAAAAACUUAAAUAUUUGACUACAGGGGACUUUCAUUUUUUUUUACUAGAUAUGAAAUUUUCACCAGUCUGUUCAAUGUGUUGAAAGUGAUUAUCUUUAAUAAUUCAGAUACUUGUUGAAAUGCACAUGUAAUUGAAUGCUUGCUUGGAUCUGGAAUGUUGUGUUAAUAAAUGUUAUGCUGAAAGAGAAUGUUGCAACAGUGCCAACCUGAAAAUAAAAUUUUAUUAAGCUACACUUUGUAAUGUUCAAAUUAAAGUUUAUACAAUGUUUUAUUCUUAAUAACAUUUAAGUGGAAAGAACAUUGUAGGCACAUUAUGCUGACCAUAAAAUAAAGUUCCAACAUUUUAACG